AACCUGCCUUAUAGUGGGGGAUAGCCUUUCGAAAGGAAGAUUAAUACCGCAUAAGAUUGUAGUAUCGCAUGAUAUAGCAAUUAAAGGAGCAAUUCGCUAUAAGAUGGACCCGCGUCGCAUUAGCUAGUUGGUGAGGUAAUGGCUCACCAAGGCGACGAUGCGUAGCCGACCUGAGAGGGUGAUCGGCCACAUUGGGACUGAGACACGGCCCAGACUCCUAACGGGAGGCAGCAUG
rnacentral:rRNA from 1 species